rnacentral:rRNA from 1 species
GACGAACGCUGGCGGCGUGCCUAAUACAUGCAAGUAGAACGCUGAAGGAGGAGCUUGCUUCUCUGGAUGAGUUGCGAACGGGUGAGUAACGCGUAGGUAACCUGCCUGGUAGCGGGGGAUAACUAUUGGAAACGAUAGCUAAUAUCGCAUAAUAGUAGAUGUUGCAUGACAUUUGCUUAAAAGGUGCAAUUGCAUCACUACCAGAUGGACCUGCGUUGUAUUAGCUAGUUGGUGAGGUAACGGCUCACCAAGGCAACGAUACAUAGCCGACCUGAGAGGGUGAUCGGCCACACUGGGACUGAGACACGGCCCAGACUCCUACGGGAGGCAGCAGUAGGGAAUCUUCGGCAAUGGACGGAAGUCUGACCGAGCAACGCCGCGUGAGUGAAGAAGGUUUUCGGAUCGUAAAGCUCUGUUGUAAGAGAAGAACGAGUGUGAGAGUGGAAAGUUCACACUGUGACGGUAUCUUACCAGAAAGGGACGGCUAACUACGUG